UACGUAGGGGGCUAGCGUUGUCCGGAAUCAUUGGGCGUAAAGAGCGUGUAGGCGGCCCGGUAAGUCCGCUGUGAAAGUCGGGGGCUCAACCCUCGAAUGCCGGUGGAUACUGUCGGGCUAGAGUGCGGAAGAGGCGAGUGGAAUUCCUGGUGUAGCGGUGAAAUGCGCAGAUAUCAGGAGGAACACCGAUUGCGAAGGCAGCUCGCUGGGACGUCACUGACGCUGAGGCGCGAAAGCUAGGGGAGCAAACGGG
rnacentral:rRNA from 1 species